UUAGGAUUAUUCUUUUAAGGCAAUUCAAACUUAUGGGGCUAAAGUCAAAGAGUUUAGGUUUUUGGCUAUAAUUUAAUACAAAUUUUGUGUGAUUUGUAGUUUUUAUAAAAGAAAUAUAGGCAGUCAAAGUUAAGGUGUUGGUUUUAUACAUAUUGUCACCUUUUUGGACAUAAUGCACACAUACGAGAAGAAAUGAAGGAUUGGCGACUGAGAUUAGAGAGAACGUUUUUUUUACUAUACUUUUUAUGUACUGCCUAAUGAAUUCUAAGCUAGAAUGAAGGAUUUAUAGGAAGUUAAUUCUUUUAAGGCAAUUCAAACUUAUGAGGCUAGAAUCAAAGAGUUUAGGUUUUUGGCUAUGAUUUUGGUAUAAAUUUUGUGUAAUUUGGAGUUUUUAUGAAAGAGAUAUAGGUGCUCAAAAUUAAAGUAUUGAUUUUGUACCUACUAUCACACUUUUGGACAUAAUGCAUGCAUAUGAGAAGCAAUGAAGGAUCGGCAAUUGAAGUUGGAGAGAGCAUUUUUUUUACUAUAUUUUUUAUGUACUGCUUAAUAAAUUUUAAGCUAAAAAAAAGAGUUAAAGAAGUUGAAUUUAGUGCUUGCAAUCUAAAGUUAGUAAG
rnacentral:lncRNA from 1 species